UUAACGCCGGCGGCGUGCAUGAGACAUGCAAGUCGAACGGACGAGCUUGGCUUGCCUUGCUCGUUAGUGGCGGACGGCUGAGUAACGCGUGGGUGACCUGCCCCGAAGUGGGGAAUAACUGCCCGAAAGGGUGGCUAAUACCGCAUGCGGAGAUGGGUUCGAUCCCAUCUCCAAAGCCGCAAGGCGCUUCGGGAGGGGCCUGCGUCCGAUUAGCUCGUUGGUGGGGUAAUGGCUCACCAAGGCGACGAUCGGUAGGUGGUCUGAGAGGACGAUCACCCAGACUGGGACUGAGACACGGCCCAGACUCCUACGGGAGGCAGCAGUCGGGAAUUUUGCUCAAUGGGCGAAAGCCUGAAGCAGCAACGCCGCGUGAGGGAUGAAGGCCUUCGG
rnacentral:rRNA from 1 species